CCAUGGCGGCGGCUGGGGGCAGCCUCACGGUGGUGGCUGG
rfam:Oryctolagus cuniculus prion protein (PrP) mRNA, complete cds.